rnacentral:rRNA from 1 species
GAUGAACGCUAGCGGCAGGCCUAACACAUGCAAGUCGAGGGAGAGGUUAUCUUCGGGUAACCAAAACCGGCGCACAGGUGCGUAACGCGUAUACAAUCUGCCUUUCACAUAGGGAUAGCCCGAAGAAAUUUGGAUUAAUACCUAAUGGUAUAUAAGAGCGGCAUCGUUUUUAUAUUAAAGCUACGGUGGUGAAAGAUGAGUAUGCGUUCUAUUAGCUAGUUGGAGAGGUAACGGCUCCCCAAGGCGACGAUAGAUAGGGGUUCUGAGAGGGAUGUCCCCCACACUGGUACUGAGAUACGGACCAGACUCCUACGGGAGGCAGCAGUGAGGAAUAUUGGACAAUGGUCGGAAGACUGAUCCAGCCAUGCCGCGUGCAGGAUGAAGGUCCUAUGGAUUGUAAACUGCUUUUGUAAGGGAAGAAUAAGGAGUACGUGUACUUUGAUGACGGUACCUUACGAAUAAGCAUCGGCUAACUCCGUGCCAGCAGCCGCGGUAAUACGGAGGAUGCGAGCGUUAUCCGGAAUCAUUGGGUUUAAAGGGUCCGUAGGCGGGCUGAUAAGUCAGAGGUGAAAGCGCUUAGCUCAACUAAGCAACUGCCUUUGAAACUGUCAGUCUUGAAUGAUUGUGAAGUAGUUGGAAUGUGUAGUGUAGCGGUGAAAUGCUUAGAUAUUACACAGAACACCGAUAGCGAAGGCAUAUUACUAACAAUUUAUUGACGCUGAUGGACGAAAGCGUGGGGAGCGAACAGG